rnacentral:rRNA from 1 species
CCGAUGGAGGGGGAUAACUACUGGAAACGGUAGCUAAUACCGCAUAACGUCGCAAGACCAAAGAGGGGGACCUUCGGGCCUCUUGCCAUCGGAUGUGCCCAGAUGGGAUUAGCUAGUAGGUGGGGUAAAGGCUCACCUAGGCGACGAUCCCUAGCUGGUCUGAGAGGAUGACCAGCCACACUGGAACUGAGACACGGUCCAG